rnacentral:tRNA from 1 species
UACCCCCGGGGGAAGUCAAAUCCCCGUUCCCCCC